ensembl:lncRNA
UGCAAAGAGGAGCGCAGGGUUAGUUUGUGUAUGAUCUCGUACUGUAGCUUGGCGGCUUGGACUGGGGGGGCUGAGCGUAGGCAUCAAUAAGACCACUAAGGGGGAGUUUUCUACUUGUAAAACGCAUGAAAAGCCUCCCCAAAUUCCCGGUGACUUCAGAUUCAAGGAGGUGGUCAUAUCCAUCGGAGCACCAUUCAUACUCUAGAACUUUCACUUCUAGUAGGACUGCGGCUUCAGACAAAAUCCCAUUGCUGCCUGCGCGCGCUCUUAACAUGAACUCAAAUGGAUUAAAACGUAUCUGACAUAAACCUGUUUCUGUAAGUAACCUAUAGGUAAGCUUUACAUUUUCAAUUUUAGGAGAAUAUGCGAAAGCUGUGAAUUGGUUUAAGAUUUUGAAUCCAUCCUGCGUAAUGCUUACCUGGACAUUAUGAAGAGACAUCAAAGCAUUUUGCAUGCUUGGGAAAAGAUACAGUAUUGCUGAAACUUUCUGUUCGCCUCCAUUCAACCACUCGAUAUUGCUUGUGGCUAUCGACACAACUGAAUCUUGAGUGACCAGCCUGCCUACACGUAGCAGCAAUUCCAUUUUUGACACAAAUAUGGACCGUUUAUGGAUUGCAGUUUUAGUGGUUCUAACCGUUGCACUAGUACGAAUGUGUGACUGCCAGAAGGACUCAACAGGUGGUAGACAGGAGAUGUGGGAGCAGCUCCGGGAGCUAGCGAGGAGCCAAGGUCACUCCGCAGUGGGAGCUAAGGACGCUGUCCCCGACAUACCAUCCAGAGAAAGCUUGCUCAACUUCUCUCAUAAUGUCUCGCACUCCGGUCGCCGGGCUCCGGUGAGCUCAUCAUCUCAACGAGAUAACAGGUACGCGACGGCAAUUAAACCAGUUCCAGCUCCCAGUACGGAAGCUUCCCUCCGGGCGGAUGAUGCCACGGUCCCACGAGAUGCUGCGCGUAGGGCCGCGACACAGCUCGGCACCCAUCACUCAUCACAGCAAAGACCCCGAAUCAGUUCCAGACAGAGCAACAAACCCAGCUCAACGCAUACCAGGCGCCUUGCAGGGCCUAAUGUAUGUGGAGGUCACCAGUGCUGCUCUGGAUGGGCUGUGGCAUCUGGCACCAACCGCUGCAUAAAGCGUAAGUAUUCAUCUUUGACCAUAUGCCUUAGGUAAACAAUGAUCAAUGAUAAUCUCUAUCCUUUGGCUUGACUGUCUCUUAACCGUCCUUCUCAAUAGUUUAAGCAUAUUGUCUUACCCAAUAGCAGGGGUCGGCAACUUUGGCCCCCCAAAUUUUGAAAUCUAAAAUAUAUAUAUAAUUUUAGUUUUUGUUUAAGAAAAUGACUGUAAAAUUUAGGAAAUCUGUUCCCAAAUAUCCCCCCCCCCAAAAAAAAGAUAUGAUCGUGUC